ensembl:lncRNA
UUGGGAGACAGGGAGGGCUCCGACUGCAUAUACAAACUCAGCCAUGACUGAUUCGCUAAAAUUUCUCUAUUAAAUUUAUCUCUGCACGUUCCUUGAGAGAGAAACCCCAGAGCACUUUAGGAGGACAAGAGGUGAUAGAGCAGAGAGAAAAAUCAGCUUCUUCCCCUUUUUGUAAGCAGGAAACCCAAGUCCCCAACUCCACGCCUAACAUAUAUGUGGCUCCAGUCAACGAUGAAUUUCUACAUUUUGGCAACGGUCAGAGUGAAAGUAGUCGCACUAUCUAUAGAAACUUUGAGAUGGAGAACACUUGAGUAUGCUACUGAAAAUGCAAGAAACACAUUUUGAAAGGAUGAAAUAAUAUCACUGAGUGACAGUAAAUUAACAUGCUGACAUUUGCAGACUUUCAGAGCAUUGCCAUAAAAAGAAGUAAUACAACAUGACUAAUUUGGACUUCUUCUUUCUUCCUUCCUAGGGAGAGACAGCCCUGCCCCUCCAAGGCCACCCUGCAGGCUUUGUCUACCAGGCACUUCCUCCUCUCUCCCAGGAAGCACGUGUGACUCUAACACUCCCUUGCGCUCCCACGUUGCCUCUUGGAGAUUCUAGGGGAGAAGGCGGUUUUGACUUCUGUGAUUCGAAGAUGCUCUCCCAAACAGCAGAAGGAUGUUGCUUGGCUGGCAGUGGGCACACAUGCUGGCCACUGCCCAGAUCCCCUGGCUGGUAGGGUGCCAGGGUUGGGAGAGUCCUCCCACACCCCUGAGCACCACGGCACUCAUGGGGAGACUGAGGCACAGACAGGCUGUGCAUUCCCAGCUCGCUCUGCUUGCUCCUGGACCAAGUAUCCAACCUGGAAAGUCCUCCCAGUGGAAAUAGGCAUUCUCUCAGCCUCCCAGCGCAGGGAGGAAUAGGAAAGGGCCCUUCUUAGAGCCAGCACAGUGCUUGGCACAUGGAAAGCACCUGGUUAACUUUGCUAAAGAAAAAUGAUUCUCCAAAGCCCCUUAGCGAGGGCCCUCCCACUCAACCUCUCCUUUCCUCAGAAGCCUGGCCUCCACUAGAGGCCAUUCUCUCUGGAGCAGGAUGCUGCUUUGUCCUCAGAGCUGUGCUUCCCAGUGGGAAAGAGCCUCUUUUUCCUUCUGGAAGCAGACUACCUGGAAAUGAAUUUAAGUUUUUGAAAACUGCUCACGGCCAGCAUCAAGCUUGGGGCCAGUGUCAUAGCCAGAGCCCCUCAACAAAGGCUAGGAACAUGCACACAGAGGUAAAUGGUGCUGAGUGGGGCGGACGUCUGGGCUCUGAACAGUUACCCCGGGAAAUUGGCACAGAAAGGAGGAUGUGCUGGGCUUCCCCUGUGGCUCAGCAGUAAAGAAUCCGCCUGCAGUGCAGGAGCUGCAGGUUCAAUCCCUGGGUUGGGAAGAUCCCCUGGAGGAUGGCAUGGCAACCCACUCCAGUAUUCUUGCCUGGAGAAUUCCAUGGACAGAGGAGCCUGGUGGGCUGUAGUCCAUAGGGUCACAAAGAAUCGGACAUAACUGAAGUGACUUAGGAUGUGCUAAACAUUCAUACCUUUGAUGCUGUUGUAAUUAUAAAAAUCAAACCAGAGGAGUCCCCUUCCUCCCUGCAACCGGGCCCCUGUCAGAUCGGGGAUAUUUCAGCUGCACGGAAGACUCUGUGGGCUUCCUUCCUUCUUCCCUCCGGAGCCUGAGACAGAAUUCUAGCACAGCCCCGGCUAUCUGAUGAUUUGAGGGGUCUGGCAAGUUUGCGGGGUGGGGGUAGGGGGGGCGGUGCAGCACGCAUGAAGUCUCACAAAGGAGCCACUGUUCCCUUGCUCUGCCUAAAUUCCCAGCUUCCUGAGCAAACGCUGCCUGGUCCUGUCCUCAGCCAGCAUUCCAAGUAGAGAGGCUGAGGGUUUCCGGAGAACCAGGGCUCCUUCUGAGCAAAAGAUGGAGUGGGUUCAGAAGCCCAGGACAGGUGCUCUCUCAGUCCAGGGGACCCCACCCUCCAGACUAGGGGACCACACGUAUCCCGAAGAGAGUGGCCAUUUCUGGGCACGUGCUGUGCUCUCACCAGACCCGCCUGGCUGGUCCCAGGAUUUGCGAGCCUCGGGCCACGUUGUGGGCAGAGACUGUUACGAGGUAACAUAAGUUGAGAGUAACCUUUCAGCAGAACAGUUUGAGUUAAAAUAAAGGGAUUGAAAAAGAGUACAAUGACCAAAAAAAUCUAUAAAAAUGCAAUUGCGCUAAUAUAAUUU